rnacentral:misc_RNA from 1 species
AUUACCAGGAAGACAAUGACCUUUAUUAUCAGCGAAUACAUAAAAAGGCAAGAUGAAAAGGGAAGAUUAAGUUAGAAAAUAAAAUCAAGUAAAAAAAAAAAGGAAGAAAAUCAGCGGCCCCCUGAAAGAAGGGACUCUGCUACAGAAGAUGAAUGCGAGGGUGCCAUGUUCAUGGAAAAUUCGCUAAAGCCCUCAGGGUGUGCAAAUGUUAGGCCACUCGCAGAGAGGCCAAGCAAUGACAAUUCUGGAAGAGGAAUAUCCCACUCUAAAAAUUGCAGAACUUGGCGCAUGCUUGGUCUAGCUUCAGGAACUGAAUGUGAACACAAUAAACCAAGUUUUAACACCAAUUCCACUUCUUCGGGUAUAUAAUUUGGACCCAAAUUUGGAUCUCUGGCCUCAAGAAUUUCACCUCUGACCCAGAAGGAAAACACCCAAUCAAGCAAGAUUACAUCAUCUGCUUGUUCUCUUCGCUCUAUUGGCCU